GAAAAGUGAAACACAGCGAGGCAUGGACGAGCCAGCUGUGAUACCCACGUCUUGUGUCUCUGGCCUAUGCUGGUUCCACAGUCAGACAUCUGGCCGUCCUGCCAGAAGGAUGAAGGAGACAGGGCCACAGCACCACCAAGCAUCUGGUUCCAGGGACUUUGACAACCAGCAGGCGUGGUGCUAAGUGCAAUUCAUCAUUAAGUCUCCCUGAAGAUGCUCCCAGGAGCUCCCACCCUAGCUGAUUUUCUUCACCCUUGGUUAGCACCUGUGACAGACAAUACAACAUGAAUGAAUAGAGGCAUCACAUUGCUAAUAUUUGUAAAGGAUUUCAGUCUACAGCGGAAAGGAGGGUAUGAAAUGGAGAACCUCAUUCAAGAGCCUCAGAAGGAUGGAACCUAAAUACUGAGAGCCUGACUUCCUGGAAAUGCUAAUUUACAGAAGACAGAGCCUUCCGUCCUGACCAGCGAACAUCUGCCAACAAUCUCUCCCCAUCCUCAAGCCCAUGACCUUGCUUUUUGAACUCUGGCUUUUACUCCUUGCCCAUAAAUACCCCAAACCCUCAACAGACUCCCUGGAGCUUGCAAUAGCAUGCAUUUUCCAAACUGCAAUUCCUCACCUAUUUCUACGUAAACUAGAUUUCUGGAAAUUCAAGCUUGCCUCAGUUUACCAUUUUAUUUAGGUUGACACUAAUAAUGUAACUUUGGUCAGUUACAUUCUGACCAAACUCUAGGCUACAAUUACCUAAUUUAUAA